GGCAGUUCGCAUGCGUAGCUUCUGAUAUACGAAUCGUCAUAUUAUAGAUCUACAAAUAGGUUUCUAAAAUAAAUCAGCGAAAUCAUCCCGUUCUCUGAACUUCAAAAUUCAGAGGUGCCCUUGACUGUCACUGGACUUGGUGAUUACGUAAUGAGCACUGAUGCGACACGGGCUCACAAAGGCGGGAAAUCUGAAUAACUCCCUCGGAAUAAUAGAAGUAUACCACUACCACUGGGUGAUACAUGAAUGGGCGAUAUUCAAAAACGUACAAUAGAAUGCCUUUCGGUUCAACAUGCGUGUAAGAAAUGUAGACGGAGAGUUCGAGAACGACAAUUAAUCUGUGUAGUCGGUGACUUCUUGAUUGUAAACAAGGGAAGAAAUUAAACUUGCGGAUAUCUAAUUGGUGUUGUUAAAAACUCUUCCAUUAAAAAGUAUAUUGAUCAAACGUUUGACGAGUACAGUGCAUUUUCGACAUGGAAGAUACAGCAACAUAAUGGACUAUGAAAUAGAUGAUAAUUGUCUUCAGCAUAUCAGAGCAUGGAACCUAUAGAAAUGAACAUUCCGAGAUGAGAAUCUCUACUUUCUCUGGCCUGUACGUCUAGAUCAUCCAUGUCGACCAAGCCCUUGAAGCCAGUCGUGACUCCCUCGAGCCCAUGAUACACUGGAGGGAGAAAGUGAUAUUCGAUGACGAUGAAGACGACGACUUCGACGACCACCACGACUCAGCGGUCAGCGAUGCAUCCGCAGUGGAUCGAGCAGGAUGUGGAUCACCGUGGGAGGUUAUGCACUCAUGGCGCGCAGGGCUUAGUUGGAUAAAAAUUCUAUUGUGGUAUUGUGGUAACAUUGUCAUUUACUGGUAGGGCUUGGAGGCUGGUGCUGAGACCCCCUCCUCCCCCCCCCCCAAAAAAAAAAAGAGAGAUUUUUUUUCUUAAAUUUGGCGAUUGUAUCGUCAUUUUUUCAGUAUAAUCUUAAUCGAGAUUUUUAUUAAGUGUUAGUCCGAUUUUGACUAUUUAUGCAUGUCAAAUCUUUAAAUGAUCUGUAUUUCUCAAUUUUCGAUUUUUUGUUCUCCAGAGAAUUUUUCAAAAUUGUGCACAAUGUAAAAAGUUCGACGUCCCCUGUGUUUUCCUCAUUAUUGAGAUCUGGAUUUUGAUUGGCUGCUGAGCCCUUUACCAAGGUAGCUGCCAAUUAGCAAAGGUACAAUAUCAUAGGUCAAAUGGGGGUCAAAUAGUAAAUAUUAUUCAAUGGGACCCUGAAACUUCAUUGGCUCAUCUUUUUUUUUUAUAAUCUUGUUCUCUUAUAACCUGGUAAAACAGUGUUAUUAGAAAAGGCAGCGCGAUGUUAGUUAUCAUCAACACACAAUAAUGUUCCACUAAUAUUUUUGAAGGAAGUGAUGUAUAUGAACUCAUUCUUGCAGUGCUUAUAUUAUGUUUCAAGGGAGGAAAACUCACGAAUGGCCCUUUUUCUCUAUUCAUAGAAAAUAUGAGAAUUCACUGGUAUCCCCGUUAAGCAAAGAAAUCCUUCCUACUUGCCUGGAACCCAUAUAUUGCGCUCACGAAAAAUGCUAAUAAAAGCAAAAUGCUUUUUUUACUGCCCAAAACUGUUCACGCUAAUAUACCAACUUAAAAGAGUUUGUUAUGUUAUAGGACCACUAAGUCAAACUUAACAUUUCAUAAGGAAAGACAACAUCACAUAAUGUUGUAUUUUCAUAUUUGCCAUAUUCUGUUUUAUGUACAAAAUAUCUAGAUCGGGAUUUACUUUUUACCAACCCCAACCCCACUCCUCCAGCCUCCAUACCCUAUAUUUGUAUUGAUAUGUAUGAUUAUACAUGGCAUUUUCUGUUUGUUUGUAAAUCAGGGUCAAGCUCUGCUAUGGCCUUUUAUAUAAUUUUCAAAGCUUGUAAUAAUUUCAUGCCUUUCAAGUGCCUUGUUACAGGAAGCAUGGAAAACUGUGAAUAUUCGGAAUUACAUUUUUUUUUAGGAAAAGAAGUCACUUAAAAAAGCACAAAUGAAAAAAUAAAAAAUAAUAAUAAAGAUUAAUUGAUAUGUAUUGAAAGAUCAAUGUAUAAUUAGACAUAAUCAUCCAUAUCACUUGUAAUUUACUUUAUAAAAAUUAUUAUCGUGAUGAAACACCGGAAGAAUACGGAUAACUUGACCAUAUAUUGUGGAAGUUAUGAUGUAAAUGUCUGGACUCAUGAUUAACAAAACUUUUCAAAAAGUUCUGCAACUCAAGUUUGAGGGAUGAUUUAUAUUUUGUUAUUCAACUAUCAAUCAUCUGAAACAUGUUCAAAAGAUGAAACCAAUAUCUCGAACCAGUUUUUCUUAACUCUUUACAAUGACGGGGUUCAACGUUAAUAUUAUUCCAAACACACUAAAUCCAUAUGGCGCACGUCAGUGCAUGUUAACAGUGUUCAAACAAAGAGUCCAUCCUCCAAACAAUGAGGAAUUCACUUCAAAGACAACUAAUUUUAUUUUGAUAAUGCUGCAUAUUUACAGGGAUUGCACAUCCCAUGAUAACAUGGGUGGAACAUCAUUGUAUAGAGGAAUAAUAAUACUUUCCAGUGAUACCAUAUUCACCUAAUGGAGCAAUAAGAGAUAACUCCCAACUUAAUUGCAGAACUUUUUGCGGGACUUUUUGAGGGGUCUAGAUAAUCCAAUAUAGCCCAGCACACCCCCACUACAUAUAAUCAUUUGUAUCGAAAUAUUGUUUAACGUUGAUGUUUGACAACACUCUACAGGCCCUAUUUACAAAUGAUGGGCAUGAUGAAAAUGAAAUUUCUGAUAUAUAUAUAUUCAGUAUGUUCAGAAGAACAACAGAGGUGCUCAGCCGUCAAUAUCUGCAUGUUAUUAUUUCUGCCGAAUUAAUUUGGCCUUGCAAACUUGUAUGAAAUCGUUAUUUGACAAGAAUAUUUCUGAUGGAAAGAACAUAAUGUCCCACAGUGUGUUCCACGGUGUGUUCACAGUGUGGAACAAAAAUGUGAAAUCUAUGAACACUGUUAAUUUUUUAUCAUUUUCGCAUUCUCACAAAGUUCAUGGUGUGAAACACUGUGCGACUCUGUUAAAUUGAGCAUCUUUAGAGUGUGAAUGACAUUUUCACAUAGUCCAUGAUGUGACUUGAACACACUGUCAACACUAUAUUCUUUCCAUUAGAUAUUGUAUUAAAUGAUAUCGUUUUCCCCGCUUUGUCUACUUCGUAUUUAUUAUAACAUUUUAAUGUUUGCUCCACUUUCUUCUCUUCCUUAUCUGACCCCGCCCCUUUAAAUGUUGUCAUCUUCUGUUAACACAUCCUGCCAAAGGUUGCGUAAAGCAUCCUCUCUUACCACACCCCUUUAUUCUCUUCCUUAUCUGACCCCGCCCCAUUAAAUGUUGUCAUCUUCUGUUAACACAUCCUGUCAAAGGUUGCGUAAAGCAUCCUCUCUUACCACACCCCUUUCUUCUCUUCCUUAUCUGACCCCGCCCCAUUAAAUGUUGUCAUCUUCUGUUAACCCAUCCUGCCAAAGGUUGCGUAAAGCAUCCUCUCUUACCACACCCCUUUCUUCUCUUCCUUAUCUGACCCCGCCCCAUUAAAUGUUGUCAUCUUCUGUUAACCCAUCCUGCCAAAGGUUGCGUAAAGCAUCCUCUCUUACCACACCCCUUUCUUCUCUUCCUUAUCUGACCCCGCCCCAUUAAAUGUUGUCAUCUUCUGUUAACCCAUCCUGCCAAAGGUUGCGUAAAGCAUCCUCUCUUACCACACCCCUUUCUUCUAUUUCUUAUCCGACCCCGCCCAUCAAAUGUUUUCAUCUUCUGUCAACCCACCUUGCCAAACGCUGCGUAAAGCACCCCGUUCCAUUGCCUCACCCUAUCUCAUCUACCAUCAUUUCUCACAAACACGCAUUUACACGCACCGACCCCUUCUUCACUUUAAUACGUUCAUCUGCAUUUAUUUUGCUCUCUCUAUUAUUCUUGGGGCAGGGGGAUGUGGGAGGGGGGGGGGGGCUCCUGAUAUAUUUUUUAUUUCACGUCCUAGUCUUUUUACUCCAGGCUACAGUAUAGAGAAUUUUACUAUUCCCUUAUCAAAAUAAUGUGCAUUACACUUCUCAAACACACUAGCUGUUCUUUUUUACGAAGUCGAUGAGUAGGGGGGGGGGUGUCGCAUUCAUUAUCUUUUUCAUCCAUUUGCCUUAUUAGAAUAAUAAAAAAAAAUGUUUUUAUGAUAUUUAAUAAUUCAAAAAAUUAUGUGUAUUAAACUUUCACAGAUGCAUUUUUUUCAUUGGGGGGGGGGGGGGGGGGGCUUUACAUUCGUUAUUAUUGGCAUCCAAGUGCAUUUCUAUUUAGACCAACCUUUUUUAUUCUAAUCUACUGCCUUAACCAUAAUUAACAUUUUCUUCCAUUCUUUACCCAUCUUCAUUUUUGUACACACAAUUUCCACUUAUUUUCUUUCAUGUUUUUUGCACCAAUCUACACACUAUAAUACAAUAAACUAUCCUACCACUACCCCCGCCCCUCCCACUCGUUCUUAUCUUGUGCGUCUCUCUCUCUCCCCUCUCAAUAUCUGGUUGUUCUUAACUACUCGUAAUGUUAAAUUUAUCAAUGAUGGUGUUAUCUUUCAAUAAAGAUGGGGUUUCCUUUUUUA